UACAGAGGUCCCAAGCGUUGUUCGGAUUCACUGGGCGUAAAGGGUGCGUAGGCGGUCGGGUAAGUCUGAUGUGAAAUCUCACAGCUUAACUGUGAAACUGCAUUGGAUACUAUCCGGCUCGAGGAAUGGAGGGGAGACUGGAAUACUUGGUGUAGCAGUGAAAUGCGUAAAUAUCAAGUGGAACACCAGUGGCGAAGGCGAGUCUCUGGACAUUUCCUGACGCUGAGGCACGAAAGCCAGGGGAGCAAACAGG
rnacentral:rRNA from 1 species